GAACGAGGAGGAGGAGGAAGAGGAGGAGGAGAAGAACUGCUUGUUAUACAGUUCGAAGAGGAAGAAGAAGAAGAGGAGGAGGAGGAGGAAGAGGAGGAGAGGAGGAAGGGAGGAAGAAGGGAGUGAGUCAGUAUAGGACGAGGCCGUGAAGAGAGAAGAAGGAAGAGGAGGAAGAAGAAGAGGAAGAAGAAGAAGAGGAAGAAGAAGAGGAAGAAGAAGAGGAGGAAGAAGAAGAAGAGGAAGAAGAAGAGGAAGAAGAAGAGGAAGAAGAAGAGGAGGAAGAGGAGGAGGAAGAAGAAGAAGAAGAAGAGGAGGAAGAAGAAGAAGAAGACCUUGUAUAUCUUACCUUAUCUUACCUGAGGUUGAACUUGAACUUGACGUCGCAAACACCUGAUGUCGGUAAAUGUAUGAUUCAGCGAGUCAGUUCUCUCCAAGUUCCCUCCACGGCCCCUCCAGCUCCCUCCAUCCACUCCUCCACCUCUCCUCCACAUGACACCCCCCCUGUUGUGCUGGGACCUGGGAACACCUGACCCCUGACCUGACUGGACCUAUGAACACUUGACUGGUUGAGUGUGACCCCUGGGAACACCUGACCACCUGACCCUUGUGCUGACUGGACCUAUGAACACUUGACUGGUUGAGUGUGACCCCUGGGAACACCUGACUGCCUGACCCUUGUGCUGACUGGACCUAUGAACACCUGGCUGUCUGAGUGUGACCCCUGGGAACACCUGACUGCCCGAGGAGAACUGGAACUUGUGUGUGUCUGUGGGCGUCUGUGUUGACCCCAAGCCUUCAGGAGGACAGCAGGCUAUCUUGACCCUCCUGGACGCUGCCUUCCUCUGUGCUGCGUCGUCGGCCGUGCUGUAAAAUAAGGAAUAAAAUGUGAUCUCGAUCCCUUG